UGAGCGAGUAACAAGGAAGAGGACUAAGUGUGAGAGGUGGGGGUUUUAGUUUUAACAUUGAGAUGAGACCGAAGCAACUUCUUGUGAAAGGUUAUGCAGAGCUCACUGUGAAGAUCUCACAGGAAGAGCAGGACAAAUGGAGAUGGUGAAAUAUGAAACGUGCAUCUCCAAAAUGCAAGUGUGAACAUCAGCUCAAGCACUCAGCAGCUUUUCAAAGAGCUCUUUCUCCUCCUCACCACUAGGUG